rnacentral:rRNA from 1 species
GGCUCACCAAGGCGACGAUCCGUAACUGGUCUGAGAGGAUGAUCAGUCACACUGGAACUGAGACACGGUCCAGACUCCUACGGGAGGCAGCAGUGGGGAAUAUUGGACAAUGGGCGAAAGCCUGAUCCAGCCAUGCCGCGUGUGUGAAGAAGGUCUUCGGAUUGUAAAGCACUUUAAGUUGGGAGGAAGGGUUGUAGAUUAAUACUCUGCAAUUUUGACGUUACCGACAGAAUAAGCACCGGCUAACUCUGUGCCAGCAGCCGCGGUAAUACAGAGGGUGCAAGCSUUAAUCGGAAUUACUGGGCGUAAAGCGCGCGUAGGUGGUUCGUUAAGUUGGAUGUGAAAUCCCCGGGCUCAACCUGGGAACUGCAUUCAAAACUGUCGAGCUAGAGUAUGGUAKAGGGUGGUGGAAUUUCCUGUGUAGCGGUGAAAUGCGUAGAUAUAGGAAGGAACACCAGUGGCGAAGGCGACCACCUGGACUGAUACUGACACUGAGGUGCGAAAGCGUGGGGAGCAAACAGGAU